rnacentral:tRNA from 1 species
GCUCCGUGGUGAAAUGCUAUCAUAAUUGCCUACCAAGCAAUUGGCUCGGGUUCGAUUCCCGACGGAUGCA